rnacentral:SRP_RNA from 1 species
ACCGGGCACGGGGGCGCAUGCCUGUAGUUCCAGCUACUCGGGAGGCUGAGGCUGGAAGAUCGCUUGAGCCCAGGAGUUCUGGGCUGCAGUGCCCUAUGCUGAUUGGGUAUCUGUACUAACUUCGGCAUCAAUAUGGUGACCUCCCAGAAGCGGGGGACCACCAGGUUGCCUAAGGAGGGGUGAACCGGCCCAGGUUGGAAACAGAGCAGGUCAAAACUCCCGUGCUGAUCAGUAAUGGGAUCACAACUGCACUCUAGCCUGGGCAACAUAGCAAGAUCCCAUCUCU